CCGGCGCCCCGCUGUUCCCUGCAUCGAGCGCAAGUCCUCCACUUCAACCUGAGGGCACAACACCUCCACCCCUGCUCCUCCCCUCCGGCGUGAGGCCGCCGCUCUGUCCCUGCGUCGACAGGGGAUGGAUCCGCGCCAAAGCAGCUGUUGGUGGCGCGAGAGGUGGGGGUCAGCGGCAGGCCCUGGUCGGCGUCAGUAGCCAGACCGGCAGGGAUAGGAGGUCCCCCCGUUCAUCCUUCUCUAGCAGCUUGCUAUUGGGGAAUUGAAAUUAGAUCGAAGAUGGCCUUACCUUCUUUUUUUCCUGAUAAUACUUUCUCAUGCUAUUCUCUCCAUUUUGAUCUCCGGGGAUUAUAUCAUCUUCCGUCCGGAGGUCUUUUCUGUGUGCUUCAAUUUUGACACUAGAUUCUUCUGUGGUUCUUGCAGGCUACUUGUGGAUGGCACUGCUGCCUGUCUUCAAUUUGUUAGAUAGACAGUAGAAUUGCAGGGCAGCAUCGUCUUCAACGCAGGAAAAGUGGUGGUUGGCAGACAGAUAUGUUGGUCUCUCUCCACCGUGGUAGAUGAGAAUGGCCUGGGAUUUGCUGAUCUCUCUCAAGUGCUGCAGGAACCUAAGUAUCUACAAGGAGGAGCAAUGCCCUGAAGAAGCUCAUGCUGUUGCUAGGCCAAGGAAGAAGCUUAAGGAGCUGCAUUCCUUCACAUUUAGCUACGAUGUAAUGGUUAACAAUCCAGAGUAUAGCUUCAUUGUGAUCUAAUGUUUAAGCAAUAUUAAGAAUUCAGAGUUAUUGUGGUUAUCGCUGUAGCAGCAGCCGCAACCCGCUUUUGACGAGGUGACUGUAAAUUGUGGUUAGCGCUUCUUCCAUCUAUUGCUGAACUUGCUUGGUGCGAUGCUGUAAACAUUGGUUCAAUGAAGUCUGAAGAGGCGUUUGUCUAA